GUUUGACGUUUCCACUUUCCAUUCGCGGUCAUUUUGAUUAGAGGUUGUUUAUUUUGAUUAUGAUAGCCGGUUUUAAAAGAUUUAAAAUUGCAAAGUAAUAAAAAAGAACGCUGAAUUAAUUGGAAGCAAGAAGAGAAGCAACUUUUUAGAAAUUUAUUACGACCCUAUCUGUCCAUAACUGAAAACAAAGAUUUCAGUACGAACACAAAAAUGGAGAAAAUGAAGGCUUCGAGCGAAAUAACAGAGAAAAAGCAACUAAAUAUUUUUAGUUUCGGGGAUGCCUUAUAGUCUGAGCUCUGGAAAAUGAGCACCUUCAAAAA